rnacentral:rRNA from 1 species
AGUGAACGCUGGCGGUAGGCCUAACACAUGCAAGUCGAACGGCAGCACAGUAAGAGCUUGCUCUUACGGGUGGCGAGUGGCGGACGGGUGAGGAAUACAUCGGAAUCUACUUUUUCGUGGGGGAUAACGUAGGGAAACUUACUCUAAUACCGCAUACGACCUACGGGUGAAAGCAGGGGAUCUUCGGACCUUGCGCGAUUGAAUGAGCCGAUGUCGGAUUAGCUAGUUGGCGGGGUAAAGGCCCACCAAGGCGACGAUCCGUAGCUGGUCUGAGAGGAUGAUCAGCCACACUGGAAGUGAGACACGGUCCAGACUCCUACGGGAGGCAGCAGUGGGGAAUAUUGGACAAUGGGCGCAAGCCUGAUCCAGCCAUACCGCGUGGGUGAAGAAGGCCUUCGGGUUGUAAAGCCCUUUUGUUGGGAAAGAAAAGCAGCAGGUUAAUACCCCGCUGUUCUGACGGUACCCAAAGAAUAAGCACCGGCUAACUUCGUG